UGUAAUGACCGAUUAAGUCCUCCGCGCCACUAUUUCUGCAGGGGCGGCUCCCAGCGUCCGCCUCUUCCUCCUCCUCGGCUCCGGCGGUCGGUAGUGUCGCUGCCCUGCGGUUCUCUUGGCCAUGAGCGGUGCCUCUUCCAGCUCGUUUUAGUUCGGACUCGUCCUUCUCCUACCCCGAUCUGUCUCCUGGGAACUCUCCUCUGAAGUAAAAAUCGGAUUUUUCUCGGGGUUUUGCCCUCUUUUCCCGCUGCUCGAUCUCUUUAACAAAACGUUAUGGGGGUUUCACUGGCUUUCAUGGUUUCGAGGGGUUUUGGCUGCGAUUCCUCGUAAAAUGAUACAAGUUUCGACAUGGCCGAAAUGCUGGUGAUCAGAGAGAAAAAUGAAGUGAAGAAUGGAAAUAAUGAGCCUGUUGAUGCUGAUGAUGAUGAAGAUGAGUUGUCUGAUGACAAUGGGGAGGAAUAUGAGAACCCCGAUACCGAUAAUGGCAAGAAAAAUCUGGGUGGAGACGAACAGAAUGGAGAAGGAGAGGAGGACGUCGAGGGUGAAAGAUCAUGAGGAUGGGGACGACGAUGUUGCCGGCGAAGACAAGGAGGAGGACGAGGAAGAUGGUGUAGAGGAGGAUCGGGAGGACAAGGAUAAAAGAGGAAGAGGCGCUUCAACCUCCAAAGAAAAAGAAGCCAAAUCCAUUUUCAAAAAAUGACAAUCAAGCAGAUUCUCCUCUCCUCCCACUGGCACAAGAUCAGCACUUGAAAAUAACGGCAGUUCAGAGCUUAAAGAUGAUGGUAGAUCUUCAAUUCUUCUCCAACAUCAUC